rnacentral:piRNA from 1 species
UCGGAUCUCACGGAUGUCUGCUGCUU